ACGACAUUAUCACGUUGAAAUACUGAUUCUCGUACGAUCUCCGAAGUUAAGCAAUGUCAAGCUUGGUCAGUACCUAGACGGGUGACCGCUUGGGAAUACCAGGUGCUGUA
rnacentral:rRNA from 1 species